rnacentral:snRNA from 1 species
UGGGAAUCACAUUCAAUUGUUUC